rnacentral:lncRNA from 1 species
GAUAAUUUAUAGUUAAAUAUAUGGUGACAAAAAAUUUUAAUGAAACUAAAAGACUCUUUGUAAACAUGAAUUUUCAUUCAAUAACUUCUAAUUUCAUCCAAGUAAUUGCCUAUUCUUAAAUUUACAAUAACGAUUUUGAAAAUAUAUAUAAAUAUACUUGAGAGCAUUAUAAAUAAGAACCCAUCAAAUCAAAUAAUGAAAUAUGAACGUUUAAAUGUAAUUUAAUUGAAAAUAGAUAAGAGGAGAUGUAGUUGUUUGAUGAAAAAAGAGGAAUUAGUUUAAAUGAGAGUUUAUUCAAUGAAUUGGAAAAAAUAUUUAGAGUGCAAGAGACCGAGGUCUACAUGAUUCAGGUUUUUGUGUUUGGCCAGCGGUUAUAGGUUAGGAUAGGCUUAUAUGUUGUUGACCCAGUUUAAACGCGGAUGAUAUACAAGAGGCCAGGCCAAUGCGGGUUGAAAAAUACAAGACAAAGAUCCAACCCUGAAUUUAGAUCAGGUCCAAAUAUUGAAACUGACCCAACCUAGAGAUCUUCAAAUCUGGGUUGGGUCAGGUAUAAUUGGGUUGGGACCGGGUCAGAUCAUAGGUGGACCCAACCCAUUUGCAGCCCUACUCGUGCCUUUGUUAUUGGGUGAAAAUCUGUUUAUAUAGUAUUUUGUACUAGCAAAUGGGUCAGGCUGGACCUUAGCAUGCUUGACCGCGCCUCGACCCAAUUUCGUAUUCUAGUCAUGAUUUGGACCUGGAAGGUAAACCAUUAGUUGAUCAAGUUGGGUCGGUUGGGUUGAGUCCAUCAAAAGGAUUUAGACCUACGAGGUCAUUUGGGUUGGGAUCAAGUCUGACUUGGACCCAACCCAAAAUGUUUGGAUUUGGGUUGAGAUUGGGUUGGAGCAAGUUCACAGUUCAAGUCAAAUAUCUAGCUAUUCUUUGUAGUUAAAAUUUGAUAAUUUAUAGUUAAAUAUAUAAUGACAAAAAAUUUUAAUGAAACUAAAAGACUCUUUGUAAACAUGAAUUUUCAUUCAAUAACUUCUAAUUUCAUCCAAGUAAUUGCCUAUUCUUAAAUUUACAAUAAUGAUUUUGAAAAUAUAUAUAAAUAUAUACUUGAGAGCAUUAUAAAUAAGAACCCAUCAAAUCAAAUAAUGAAAUAUGAAUGUUUAAAUGUAAUUUAAGUGAAAAUAGAUAAGAGGAGAUGUAGUUGUUUGAUGAAAAAAGAGGAAUUAGUUUAAAUGAGAGUUUAUUCAAUGAAUUGGAAAAAAUAUUUAGGUUUUUGUGUUUGGCCAGCGGUUAUAGGUUAGGAUAGGCUUAUAUGUUGUUGACCCAGUUUAAACGCGGAUGAUAUACAAGAGGCCAGGCCAAUGCGGGUUGAAAAAUACAAGACAAAGAUCCAACCCUGAAUUUAGAUCAGGUCCAAAUAUUGAAACUGACCC